rnacentral:rRNA from 1 species
GAUGAACGCUGGCGGCGUGCCUAAUACAUGCAAGUCGAGCGAACAGACGAGGAGCUUGCUCCUCUGACGUUAGCGGCGGACGGGUGAGUAACACGUGGAUAACCUACCUAUAAGACUGGGAUAACUUCGGGAAACCGGAGCUAAUACCGGAUAAUAUAUUGAACCGCAUGGUUCAAUAGUGAAAGACGGUUUUGCUGUCACUUAUAGAUGGAUCCGCGCCGCAUUAGCUAGUUGGUAAGGUAACAGCUUACCAAGGCAACGAUGCGUAGCCGACCUGAGAGGGUGAUCGGCCACACUGGAACUGAGACACGGUCCGGACUCCUACGGGAGGCAGCAGUAGGGAAUCUUCCGCAAUGGGCGAAAGCCUGACGGAGCAACGCCGCGUGAGUGAUGAAGGUCUUCGGAUCGUAAAACUCUGUUAUUAGGGAAGAACAAAUGUGUAAGUAACUAUGCACGUCUUGACGGUACCUAAUCAGAAAGCCACGGCUAACUACGUG